CUCUUCGGAGCGAACCACCAUUUUUCACUUAUACAAACACAAAGUCUAUGAAUGUAAACAAAUUUAUAACAAAACAAAACUUUCAACAACGGAUCUCUUGGCUCUCGCAUCGAUGAAGAACGCAGCGAAAUGCGAUACGUAAUGUGAAUUGCAGAAUUCAGUGAAUCAUCGAAUCUUUGAACGCACCUUGCGCUCCUUGGUAUUCCGAGGAGCAUGCCUGUUUGAGUGUCAUGAAAUCUUCAACCCACCUCUUUCUUAGUGAAUCUGGUGGUGCUUGGUUUCUGAGCGCUGCUCUGCUUCGGCUUAACUCGUUCGUAAUGCAUUAGCAUCCGCAACCGAAACUUCGGAUUGACUUGGCGUAAUAGACUAUUCGCUGAGGAUUCCAGACUUGUUCUGGAGCCCAAUUUGGUUAAAGGAAGCCUCUAAUCCUAAAGUCUAUUUUUUGAUUAGAUCUCAAAUCAGGUAGGACUACCC
rnacentral:rRNA from 1 species